CGGCGGAGAGGGGCGGGAGGCGGGGGAGAGCGCGAGCUCCGAGAAGGGAAGGCGCAUGGGCAGACCAACUGCAAGUCGGUUUGUCUAGAGACCCCGGGGGGGAGGGGUAGGAGUCGCCGCCAUUUUGUGGUAGGCUUGCUCCUCCGAGUUGGAGCUUUUUUUUUAUAGCUCCCCUCCCCCCUUAAAAUUUUUUUUUCCCCCCUCGGAAAGCGGUUGUGGUGCCGAAGGAGACCUCCCAAGCUCGGCUGGGGGCUUCAGACUCUGCAGCCGCGUUAAGUUGGUUUUACAGAAUUAUCAGGUCUUCGAGAAAAAAAAAAUAAACAAACAGGUCAUUAU
rnacentral:lncRNA from 1 species